rnacentral:tRNA from 1 species
GCAGUGGUAGCUCAGUGAUAGAGUUAUCGCCUCCCAUGAGGGAGACCUGGGCUCAAUUCCCAGCCAACGCA